rnacentral:rRNA from 1 species
UGGGGAAUUUUGGACAAUGGGCGAAAGCCUGAUCCAGCAAUGCCGCGUGUGUGAAGAAGGCCUUCGGGUUGUAAAGCACUUUUGUCCGGAAAGAAAUCCUCUGGGUUAAUACCUCGGGGGGAUGACGGUACCGGAAGAAUAAGCACCGGCUAACUACGUGCCAGCAGCCGCGGUAAUACGUAGGGUGCAAGCGUUAAUCGGAAUUACUGGGCGUAAAGCGUGCGCAGGCGGUUUUGUAAGACGGAUGUGAAAUCCCCGGGCUUAACCUGGGAACUGCAUUCGUGACUGCAAGGCUAGAGUAUGGCAGAGGGGGGUAGAAUUCCACGUGUAGCAGUGAAAUGCGUAGAGAUGUGGAGGAAUACCGAUGGCGAAGGCAGCCCCCUGGGCCAAAUACUGACGCUCAUGCACGAAAAGCGUGGGGGAGCAAAACAGGAUUAGAUACCCUGGUAGUCCACGCCCUAAACGAUGUCAACUAGUUGUUGGGGAUUCAUUUCCUUAGUAACGUAGCUAACGCGUGAAGUUGACCGCCUGGGGAGUACGGUCGCAAGAUUAAAACUCAAAGGAAUUGACGGGGUCAUAGCUGUUUCCU